rnacentral:snRNA from 1 species
GUAUUUGGGAUUGGCUAACUUCACUUAGCUUUAUCAGGCGGGUGUCUCCUUCCUCCCUCACCACUCCAUGUGCAUCCCUCCUGAAGCUGUGCACUAGGUCCACGACCUCCCCGGAUAGAGGAGGACCAUUCUUCUGUCAAGGGUAUACAAGUAGCUGUGCUCCCCUGCAAGAACCUCCAAACAAGCUCUCAAAGUCAACUUUGUUAUACUCUUUACAAUAUAUUUAAAUAAUGGAGCACCAAAAACACACAUACACACACAUAGCCUUGAUACUACUUUUGU